AUUGAACGCUGGCGGCAGGCCUAACACAUGCAAGUCGAGCGGAUGAAGGGAGCUUGCUCCUGGAUUCAGCGGCGGACGGGUGAGUAAUGCCUAGGAAUCUGCCUGGUAGUGGGGGAUAACGUCCAGAAACGGGCGCUAAUACCGCAUACGUCCUGAGGGAGAAAGUGGGGGAUCUUCGGACCUCACGCUAUCAGAUGAGCCUAGGUCGGAUUAGCUAGUUGGCGGGGUAAAGGCCUACCAAGGCGACGAUCCGUAACUGGUCUGAGAGGGUGAUCAGUCACACUGGAACUGAGACACGGUCCAGACUCCUACGGGAGGCAGCAGUUGGGAAUAUUGGACAAUGGGCGAAAGCCUGAUCCAGCCAUGCCGCGUGUGUGAAGAAGGUCUUCGGAUUGUAAAGCACUUUAAGUUGGGAGGAAGGGCAGUAAGUUAAUACCUUGCUGUUUUGACGUUACCAACAGAAUAAGCACCGGCUAACUUCGUG
rnacentral:rRNA from 1 species